UACGGAGGGUGCAAGCGUUAAUCGGAAUUACUGGGCGUAAAGCGUGCGCAGGCGGUUUGUUAAGUCCGUUGUGAAAGCCCCGAGCUCAACUUGGGAAUUGCAGUGGAUACUGGCAGGCUGGAGUACGGUAGAGGAAGGUGGAAUUCCCGGUGUAGCAGUGAAAUGCGUAGAUAUCGGGAGGAACACCAGUGGCGAAGGCGGCUAUCUGGGCUGCAACUGACGCUGAGGCGCGAAGGCUAGGGUAGCAAACAGG
rnacentral:rRNA from 1 species